GCUCAGGACGAACGCUGGCGGCGUGCUUAACACAUGCAAGUCGAACGAUGAAGCCCUUCGGGGUGGAUUAGUGGCGAACGGGUGAGUAACACGUGGGCAAUCUGCCCUGCACUCUGGGACAAGCCCUGGAAACGGGGUCUAAUACCGGAUAUGACACACGACCGCAUGGUCUGUGUGUGGAAAGCUCCGGCGGUGCAGGAUGAGCCCGCGGCCUAUCAGCUUGUUGGUGGGGUAAUGGCCUACCAAGGCGACGACGGGUAGCCGGCCUGAGAGGGCGACCGGCCACACUGGGACUGAGACACGGCCCAGACUCCUACGGGAGGCAGCAGUGGGGAAUAUUGCACAAUGGGCGCAAGCCUGAUGCAGCGACGCCGCGUGAGGGAUGACGGCCUUCGGGUUGUAAACCUCUUUCAGCAGGGAAGAAGCGCAAGUGACGGUACCUGCAGAAGAAGCGCCGGCUAACUACGUGCCAGCAGCCGCGGUAAUACGUAGGGCGCAAGCGUUGUCCGGAAUUAUUGGGCGUAAAGAGCUCGUAGGCGGCUUGUCGCGUCGGAUGUGAAAGCCCGGGGCUUAACCCCGGGUCUGCAUUCGAUACGGGCA
rnacentral:rRNA from 1 species